rnacentral:rRNA from 1 species
CUACGGGAGGCAGCAGUGAGGAAUAUUGCACAAUGGGGGGAACCCUGAUGCAGCAACGCCGCGUGGAGGAUGACGCAUUUCGGUGUGUAAACUCCUCUUAUAUGUCAAGAAAAUGACGGUAGCAUAUGAAUAAGCACCGGCUAACUCCGUGCCAGCAGCCGCGGUAAUACGGAGGGUGCAAGCGUUACUCGGAAUCACUGGGCGUAAAGGACGCGUAGGCGGGUUGGAAAGUCAGGUGUGAAAUCCUACAGCUUAACUGUAGAACUGCACUUGAAACUUCUAAUCUAGAGUAUGGGAGGGGGAGAUGGAAUUAGUGGUGUAGGGGUAAAAUCCGUAGAUAUCACUGGGAAUACCUAAAGCGAAGGCGAUCUCCCGGAACAUUACUGACGCUAAGGCGUGAAAGCGUGGGGAGCAAACAGGAUUAGAUACCCGCGUAGUC